AAGGGGGCACGGUACACCUUACUAAUUAUCUCAAUUUGUAGUAAUGGUUUAUGGGUAUAUUCCUAUGUCAACACUUAUCAAACUCUACACUGAAAAUAUGUGCAGUUUAUUGUGUGUCAAUUAUACUUUAUUCAUUUUAAAAGAGUCCAUUGUUCAAAUCCUCCCUCGAGAGCUCUUUCUAGCAGUAAGGCAAUGGAACCAGGAAUGUAUGCCUAAAUGUGUCAGCAGACAAAGGCUUUUUAAAAAGUGCCAUACUCGUGUUUGAAAGGCAAAGAGAAUUUUGCUUGGUUUCUGUACUUCGUGGGAGUUCCUAUGGGCUAUCCUGAUAGGCCACCAGCUGAUUUAAGGAGUCCCAGUAGGCAUUUUCUUGGUUUUAUCCAGCACCUCAGUACUGCCCCAACCACCCACUUCCAGCCAUUGUGACAAGGCACCAUCAACCAUCAUGUCCCUUUACCAGGAGGGCCCAUGUCAUAAGCCACUAUAUAAAGGGAAUGAUGGGUGGAUGGCUUUGGACAAAUGGACUUGGGGUAGGAGAGAGGGACAACAGUGGGAGCAAAAAGAUCUUGCUGUUUCAACCAAAACCUCGUGCUGACCGGAGUUGAGGAACAGAAGAAGAUGGUAAAAGCCUGUGGAUGUAGGUGUUCAGCAUGCCAUCUGAGAUAUUCCCCACGGACGCAAAAAGCCAGGAAAUUACCUCUGAAAAGGAAUGGGAAGACAAGUCAGCAGAAUAUGUCAAUGUUUUGGUUGAAGAAGCUGCUUGAAUUUGUGCUUUUCUGUAACAUGUGCUCUCCCACAGCCAGCACAGAGAAGGGCUUUUGGCGCAGGCCCAAGACCACCAUAAUCAUCAUUGAUUAUUCCUCUCCACCCCAGGGUCUCUAAAUAAAACGUCUCUUCUUUCUCUGA